AAUACGCGUGUGUGAAGAAGGCCUGAGGGUUGUAAAGCACUUUCAAUAGGAAGGAAUACCUAUCGGUUAAUACCCGGUAGACUGACAUUACCUAUACAAGAAGCACCGGCUAACUCCGUGCCAGCAGCCGCGGUAAUACGGAGGGUGCAAGCGUUAAUCGGAAUUACUGGGCGUAAAGCGUGCGUAGGCGGUUAUUUAAGUCAGAUGUGAAAGCCCUGGGCUUAACCUGGGAACUGCAUUUGAUACUGGAUGACUAGAGUUGAGUAGAGGAGAGUGGAAUUUCAGGUGUAGCGGUGAAAUGCGUAGAGAUCUGAAGGAACACCAGUGGCGAAGGCGGCUCUCUGGACUCAAACUGACGCUGAGGUACGAAAGCGUGGGUAGCAAACAGGAUUAGAUACCCUGGUAGUCCACGCCGUACACGAUGUCAACUAACCGUUGGGUUCUUAAAGAACUUAGUGGUGGAGCUAACGUAUUAAGUUGACCGCCUGCGGAGUACGGCCGCAAGGCUAAAACCUCAAAUGAAUUGACGGGGGCCCCG
rnacentral:rRNA from 1 species